ACAAUUCCUGGCAGGGGAGACACCUUGAUCACGAAGGAGGUUUUCCCAGGGUGAGGCUCAUCCAUUGCACUGCGGGUGUGCUGACCCCUGCGAUUUCCCCAAAUGCGGGAAACUCGACUGCAUAAUUCUCGACUGCAUAAAACUCGACUGCAUAAGCCUUUGAC